GGGACACGUGGUAUCCUGUCUGAAUAUGGGGGGACCAUCCUCCAAGGCUAAAUACUCCUGACUGACCGAUAGUGAACCAGUACCGUGAGGGAAAGGCGAAAAGAACCCCGGCGAGGGGAGUGAAAAAGAACCUGAAACCGUGUACGUACAAGCAGUGGGAGCACGCUUAGGCGUGUGACUGCGUACCUUUUGUAUAAUGGGUCAGCGACUUAUAUUCUGUAGCAAGGUUAACCGAAUAGGGGAGCCGAAGGGAAACCGAGUCUUAACUGGGCGUUAAGUUGCAGGGUAUAGACCCGAAACCCGGUGAUCUAGCCAUGGGCAGGUUGAAGGUUGGGUAACACUAACUGGAGGACCGAACCGACUAAUGUUGAAAAAUUAGCGGAUGACUUGUGGCUGGGGGUGAAAGGCCAAUCAAACCGGGAGAUAGCUGGUUCUCCCCGAAAGCUAUUUAGGUAGCGCCUCGUGAAUUCAUCUCCGGGGGUAGAGCACUGUUUCGGCAAGGGGGUCAUCCCGACUUACCAACCCGAUGCAAACUGCGAAUACCGGAGAAUGUUAUCACGGGAGACACACGGCGGGUGCUAACGUCCGUCGUGAAGAGGGAAACAACCCAGACCGCCAGCUAAGGUCCCAAAGUCAUGGUUAAGUGGGAAACGAUGUGGGAAGGCCCAGACAGCCAGGAUGUUGGCUUAGAAGCAGCCAUCAUUUAAAGAAAGCGUAAUAGCUCACUGGUCGAGUCGGCCUGCGCGGAAGAUGUAACGGGGCUAAACCAUGCACCGAAGCUGCGGCAGCGACACUAUGUGUUGUUGGGUAGGGGAGCGUUCUGUAAGCCUGUGAAGGUGUGCUGUGAGGCAUGCUGGAGGUAUCAGAAGUGCGAAUGCUGACAUAAGUAACGAUAAAGCGGGUGAAAAGCCCGCUCGCCGGAAGACCAAGGGUUCCUGUCCAACGUUAAUCGGGGCAGGG
rnacentral:rRNA from 1 species